rnacentral:rRNA from 1 species
GACGAACGCUGGCGGCGUGCUUAACACAUGCAAGUCGAACGGAAAGGCCCUGCUUUUGUGGGGUGCUCGAGUGGCGAACGGGUGAGUAACACGUGAGUAACCUGCCCUUGACUUUGGUAUAACUUCAGGAAACUGGGGCUAAUACCGGAUAGGAGCUCCUGCUGCAUGGUGGGGGUUGGAAAGUUUCGGCGGUUGGGGAUGGACUCGCGGCUUAUCAGCUUGUUGGUGGGGUAGUGGCUUACCAAGGCUUUGACGGGUAGCCGGCCUGAGAGGGUGACCGGCCACAUUGGGACUGAGAUACGGCCCAGACUCCUACGGGAGGCAGCAGUGGGGAAUAUUGCACAAUGGGCGGAAGCCUGAUGCAGCAACGCCGCGUGCGGGAUGACGGCCUUCGGGUUGUAAACCGCUUUCGCCUGUGACGAAGCGUGAGUGACGGUAAUGGGUAAAGAAGCACCGGCUAACUACGUG